rnacentral:rRNA from 1 species
GCGGAGGAAAAGAAACUAACAAGGAUUCCCCUAGUAACUGCGAGUGAAGCGGGAAAAGCUCAAAUUUAAAAUCUGGCAGACUGUUGGCUGUCCGAGUUGUAACCUAGAGAAGUGUAACCUGUGCUGGACCAUGUACAAGUCUCCUGGAAUGGAGCAUCAUAGAGGGUGAGAAUCCCGUCUUUGACAUGGACUACCAGUGCACUAAGGUUGCGCACUCAACGAGUCGAGUUGUUUGGGAAUGCAGCUCUAAAUGGGUGGUAAAUUCCAUCUAAAGCUAAAUAUUGGCGAGAGACCGAUAGCGAACAAGUACCGUGAGGGAAAGAUGAAAAGAACUUUGGAAAGAGAGUUAAACAGUAUGUGAAAUUGUUGAAAGGGAAACGCUUGAAGUCAGCUGUGUUGGCUGGGGAUCAAGCCAGCUUAUUUGCUGGGUGUACUUCCUGGUUGACAGGCCAGCAUCAGUUUUGACCAUCAGAGAAAGGCCAAGGGAAUGUGGCACCUUUAUAGGUGUGUUAUAGCCCUUGGUUGUAUGUGGUGGUUGGGACUGAGGACAGCAGCAUGCCACAUGGCUGGGUUUCGACCACGUUCAUGCUUUGGAUGUUGGCAUAAUGGCUUUAAGC